AACGGUCUAUACCUGCGGUACCUGCGGAGGGAUCAUUACUGAGUGAGGGCCCUCUGGGUCCAACCUCCCACCCGUGUCUCUUGUACCAUGUUGCUUCGGCGAGCCCGCCUCACGGCCGCCGGGGGGCAUCUGCCCCCGGGCCCGCGCCCGCCGAAGCCCCCUCUGAACGCUGUCUGAAGAUUGCAGUCUGAGCGAUAAGCAAAAAUUAUUUAAAACUUUUAACAACGGAUCUCUAGAUCG
rnacentral:misc_RNA from 1 species